rnacentral:rRNA from 1 species
UACGGAGGGGGCAAGCGUUGUUCGGAUUUACUGGGCGUAAAGGGCGCGUAGGCGGCUUUGUAAGUUACUUGUGAAAUCUCCGGGCUUAACUCGGAACUGCCAAGUAAGACUGCAGAGCUAGAGUGCAGAAGGGGCAACUGGAAUUCCUGGUGUAGCGGUGAAAUGCGUAGAUAUCAGGAGGAACACCUGAGGCGAAGGCGGGUUGCUGGGCUGACGCUGACGCUGAGGCGCGAAAGCUAGGGGAGCAAACAGG